UGCCCGGUGGUGUAGUGGUAGCACACAGGCCUUUGGAGCCUUUGACCCAGGUUCGAAUCCUGGCCGGGCAG
rnacentral:tRNA from 1 species